rnacentral:rRNA from 1 species
GAUCCAGCCAUGCCGCGUGUGUGAAGAAGGCCCUCGGGUUGUAAAGCACUUUCAGCGAGGAAGAACGCCUAGCGGUUAAUACCCGCUAGGAAAGACAUCACUCGCAGAAGAAGCACCGGCUAACUCCGUGCCAGCAGCCGCGGUAAUACGGAGGGUGCAAGCGUUAAUCGGAAUUACUGGGCGUAAAGCGCGCGUAGGUGGCUUGAUAAGCCGGUUGUGAAAGCCCCGGGCUCAACCUGGGAACGGCAUCCGGAACUGUCAAGCUAGAGUGCAGGAGAGGAAGGUAGAAUUCCCGGUGUAGCGGUGAAAUGCGUAGAGAUCGGGAGGAAUACCAGUGGCGAAGGCGGCCUUCUGGACUGACACUGACACUGAGGUGCGAAAGCGUGGGUAGCAAACAGGAUUAGAUACCCUGGUAGUCCACGCCGUAAACGAUGUCGACCAGCCGUUGGGUGCCUAGCGCACUUUGUGGCGAAGUUAACGCGAUAAGUCGACCGCCUGGGGAGUACGGCCGCAAGGUUAAAACUCAAAUGAAUUGACGGGGGCCCGCACAAGCGGUGGAGCAUGUGGUUU